CAUGGAAAAGCUUUGAUUUCCUGGCAGAAGAAUCAAGAAAAAUGCAGAAGACGGGGUGAGAGUGAGUGUGUUUGAGGUGACUAGACAUGCAGAACUCCCCCUGACUACCAAAAGUUUUGUCUGGCGUAAGAAGAUAGAAAUUAGAAGAGCUUUAGCUAAGGAGGCUGAAAGACACUUGGCCUGAGUGAUUCCUAAAAGACGCCUGAAAGGU